CAGCAGCCGCGGGAAUACGAAGGGUGCAAGCGUUAAUCGGAAUUACUGGGCGUAAAGCGCGCGUAGGUGGUUUGGUAAGAUGGAUGUGAAAUCCCCGGGCUCAACCUGGGAACUGCAUCCAUAACUGCCUGACUAGAGUACGGUAGAGGGUGGUGGAAUUUCCUGUGUAGCGGUGAAAUGCGUAGAUAUAGGAAGGAACACCAGUGGCGAAGGCGACCACCUGGACUGAUACUGACACUGAGGUGCGAAAGCGUGGGGAGCAAACAGGAUUAGAUACCCGUGUAGUCCCUGUCUCUUAUAC
rnacentral:rRNA from 1 species